UUAAGCGACUAAGCGUACACGGUGGAUGCCCUGGCAGUCAGAGGCGAUGAAGGACGUGCUAAUCUGCGAUAAGCGUCGGUGAGGUGAUAUGAACCGUUAUAACCGGCGAUUUCCGAAUGGGGAAACCCAGUGUGUUUCGACACACUAUCAUUAACUGAAUCCAUAGGUUAAUGAGGCGAACCGGGGGAACUGAAACAUCUAAGUACCCGAGGAAAAGAAAUCAACCGAGAUUCCCCAGUAGCGGCGAGCGAACGGGGAGGAGCCCAGAGCCUGAAUCAGUGUGUGUGUUAGUGGAAGCGUCUGGAAAGGCGCGCGAUACAGGGUGACAGCCCCGUACACAAAAAUGCACAUAUUGUGAGCUCGAUGAGUAGGGCGGGACACGUGGUAUCCUGUCUGAAUAUGGGGGGACCAUCCUCCAAGGCUAAAUACUCCUGACUGACCGAUAGUGAACCAGUACCGUGAGGGAAAGGCGAAAAGAACCCCGGCGAGGGGAGUGAAAAAGAACCUGAAACCGUGUACGUACAAGCAGUGGGAGCCUCUUUAUGGGGUGACUGCGUACCUUUUGUAUAAUGGGUCAGCGACUUAUAUUCUGUAGCAAGGUUAACCGAAUAGGGGAGCCGAAGGGAAACCGAGUCUUAACUGGGCGUUAAGUUGCAGGGUAUAGACCCGAAACCCGGUGAUCUAGCCAUGGGCAGGUUGAAGGUUGGGUAACACUAACUGGAGGACCGAACCGACUAAUGUUGAAAAAUUAGCGGAUGACUUGUGGCUGGGGGUGAAAGGCCAAUCAAACCGGGAGAUAGCUGGUUCUCCCCGAAAGCUAUUUAGGUAGCGCCUCGUGAAUUCAUCUCCGGGGUAGAGCACUGUUUCGGCAAGGGGGUCAUCCCGACUUACCAACCCGAUGCAAACUGCGAAUACCGGAGAAUGUUAUCACGGGAGACACACGGCGGGUGCUAACGUCCGUCGUGAAGAGGGAAACAACCCAGACCGCCAGCUAAGGUCCCAAAGUCAUGGUUAAGUGGGAAACGAUGUGGGAAGGCCCAGACAGCCAGGAUGUUGGCUUAGAAGCAGCCAUCAUUUAAAGAAAGCGUAAUAGCUCACUGGUCGAGUCGGCCUGCGCGGAAGAUGUAACGGGGCUAAACCAUGCACCGAAGCUGCGGCAGCGACACUAUGUGUUGUUGGGUAGGGGAGCGUUCUGUAAGCCUGUGAAGGUGGCCUGUGAGGGUUGCUGGAGGUAUCAGAAGUGCGAAUGCUGACAUAAGUAACGAUAAAGCGGGUGAAAAGCCCGCUCGCCGGAAGACCAAGGGUUCCUGUCCAACGUUAAUCGGGGCAGGGUGAGUCGACCCCUAAGGCGAGGCCGAAAGGCGUAGUCGAUGGGAAACAGGUUAAUAUUCCUGUACUUGGUGUUACUGCGAAGGGGGACGGAGAAGGCUAUGUUGGCCGGGCGACGGUUGUCCCGGUUUAAGCGUGUAGGCUGGUUUUCCAGGCAAAUCCGGAAAACCAAGGCUGAGGCGUGAUGACGAGGCACUACGGUGCUGAAGCGACAAAUGCCCUGCUUCCAGGAAAAGCCUCUAAGCAUCAGGUAACAUCAAAUCGUACCCCAAACCGACACAGGUGGUCAGGUAGAGAAUACCAAGGCGCUUGAGAGAACUCGGGUGAAGGAACUAGGCAAAAUGGUGCCGUAACUUCGGGAGAAGGCACGCUGAUAUGUAGGUGAAGCGACUUGCUCGUGGAGCUGAAAUCAGUCGAAGAUACCAGCUGGCUGCAACUGUUUAUUAAAAACACAGCACUGUGCAAACACGAAAGUGGACGUAUACGGUGUGACGCCUGCCCGGUGCCGGAAGGUUAAUUGAUGGGGUUAGCGGUAACGCGAAGCUCUUGAUCGAAGCCCCGGUAAACGGCGGCCGUAACUAUAACGGUCCUAAGGUAGCGAAAUUCCUUGUCGGGUAAGUUCCGACCUGCACGAAUGGCGUAAUGAUGGCCAGGCUGUCUCCACCCGAGACUCAGUGAAAUUGAACUCGCUGUGAAGAUGCAGUGUACCCGCGGCAAGACGGAAAGACCCCGUGAACCUUUACUAUAGCUUGACACUGAACAUUGAGCCUUGAUGUGUAGGAUAGGUGGGAGGCUUUGAAGUGUGGACGCCAGUCUGCAUGGAGCCGACCUUGAAAUACCACCCUUUAAUGUUUGAUGUUCUAACGUUGGCCCGUAAUCCGGGUUGCGGACAGUGUCUGGUGGGUAGUUUGACUGGGGCGGUCUCCUCCUAAAGAGUAACGGAGGAGCACGAAGGUUGGCUAAUCCUGGUCGGACAUCAGGAGGUUAGUGCAAUGGCAUAAGCCAGCUUGACUGCGAGCGUGACGGCGCGAGCAGGUGCGAAAGCAGGUCAUAGUGAUCCGGUGGUUCUGAAUGGAAGGGCCAUCGCUCAACGGAUAAAAGGUACUCCGGGGAUAACAGGCUGAUACCGCCCAAGAGUUCAUAUCGACGGCGGUGUUUGGCACCUCGAUGUCGGCUCAUCACAUCCUGGGGCUGAAGUAGGUCCCAAGGGUAUGGCUGUUCGCCAUUUAAAGUGGUACGCGAGCUGGGUUUAGAACGUCGUGAGACAGUUCGGUCCCUAUCUGCCGUGGGCGCUGGAGAACUGAGGGGGGCUGCUCCUAGUACGAGAGGACCGGAGUGGACGCAUCACUGGUGUUCGGGUUGUCAUGCCAAUGGCACUGCCCGGUAGCUAAAUGCGGAAGAGAUAAGUGCUGAAAGCAUCUAAGCACGAAACUUGCCCCGAGAUGAGUUCUCCCUGACUCCUUGAGAGUCCUGAAGGAACGUUGAAGACGACGACGUUGAUAGGCCGGGUGUGUAAGCGCAGCGAUGCGUUGAGCUAACCGGUACUAAUGAACCGUGAGGCUUAACCU
rnacentral:rRNA from 1 species